AACGUAGGAGACAAACGUUAUCCGGAGUUACUGGGCGUAAAGGGCGUGUAGGCGGUUUGUUAAGUCUGGCGUGAAAGCUCUCGGCUAAACCGGGAGAGGUCGUUGGAUACUGGCAAACUAGAGGAUGGUAGAGGCGUGUGGAAUUCCGGGUGUAGUGGUGAAAUGCGUAGAGAUCCGGAGGAACACCAGUGGCGAAGGCGACACGCUGGGCCAUACCUGACGCUAAAGCGCGACAGCAUGGGGAGCAAAUGGG
rnacentral:rRNA from 1 species